UACGGAGGAUGCAAGCGUUAUCCGGAUUUAUUGGGUUUAAAGGGUGCGCAGGUUGUUUGAUAAGUCAGUGGCGAAAGUCUGUCGCUUAACGGUAGGAUUGCCAUUGAUACUGUUAGACUUGAAUAUGGAUGAGGUAGGCGGAAUGUGUAGUGUAGCGGUGAAAUGCAUAGAUAUCACACAGAACACCGAUUGCGAAGGCAGCUUACUAAUCCAUCAUUGACGCUGAGGCACGAAAGCGUGGGGAUCAAACA
rnacentral:rRNA from 1 species